rnacentral:misc_RNA from 1 species
AUUCAUGAGGGUGUGCAAAUAACAAUUGAAGCUAAGAAAUCUGUGUCAUGAUCAAAGCUUCAAGAUUGUUUGAAAUUUGUUGCAUCCCUUGAUUUCUCUUUAAAAGAUAUAUUGUCAGAUCUCCAGACAAGAGUUGAAGCUCUAACAACCCAAUUCCCGAUGCCUGGAGUACGAGUGUCAUGGCCGGUCUAUAUAAGGUCGCUUUUAUGAUGCCAGUACUGUGAUUGACUAAGUUGUCUUUAAGCUUAGUCUCUACAAGUUCUACCAAUAACAAAAUGAGAGUAAAAAUGCUUUUUUAGUGCAGCUCUUAUCGUCUAAGGAAUGAUAGGAAAGGGUAACAAUAUUACUAAAAGUUCUUAUAGCAUUUGCCUUUUUCAGAUUCUUUACUGACUUUUUUUUUUCUGUGAUGAGGCAAUGCAGUUCUUUGUUAGAUUCAAUUGGUUUACCAUUGCAAUGUCUGUAUUUUUCCUCUUGUGAUGUGGAGUUUGGACUUUUCUCCCUGCAUCCUCCAAAUCUGAACUCGAAGGUAAACUGGAAACUGUACCUUAAAAAGAAAAUUCAAGUGAAAUGGAAGGGGCAAAAAGAAAAGGUGGACUCAAAUGUGUAGUUGUUGAUUUUACAGCAGGAUUAAUUUAAUUUUUCGCAUUUUACUUUUUAUUCAUUUCAAUGACUUUGCUGGAAUGAGUAAAACAGACCGAGCAAUCAAUCUAUCCAAUAUGCUUAUAAAUGUUUCAAGUUGCUCAUUGAUACUCCAAAGUCCAAAGUGAUUGAAGAUAUGACAGACUCAAGUAUCUCCUUGGUUUUGAUUUUCAUAAGAAUACCUUAGAAUUUUUAUCAAAUUUCUUUUUGCUUUUAUUUGUCGUUUAAGGCUUUUGUAUGAUGUUUAACGAGACUCAGACUUGAUCUUUACUUGUGAAAAUAGUUUUAUAAUUGACAGAAAUUCUCAAAGGGAUCAUGAAAGAGUGAAUAUAAAUUUUGAGUGUUGAAUCAUUAUAAAUUCUUGAUUUAUUGUUGUUAUAUUUUUUUAUUAAUUUUCAUCAGAUAAUAAUAGUAUUUUACUAUUAAAAAUGAUUCUAACACCAACCAUAUUAAUAUUGUUAAAUAUUAAUUUACUAUAUUCGAAUUGAAGUAAAAUUAAUAAAAUAUAUAUUUAGGAAAUA